rnacentral:lncRNA from 1 species
GGGAUUUAACCCCUUUUUGUUAAUAACAAAAAAAAAAAAACUUCCUGCAAAUGGUAGAACACAUUAGUAUUUGCUCUCCAAUAUCUUUUUUUUGGUUUCUUGUUUCUCAUUGAGUUCAAGAUGGGGGCAGGGAUUAAACUCCCUGAAUUUCGAGACAAUUCGAGUCCUCUAUGCUUUCCCCUUAAACUGCUUGCUUGGCAGAGAAGGCAAUGAACCUUGCCUAUCAUUAAAUCAGGUACUUUUUUUUUUUUUAAAUAAUGAGAUAGGAACAAUAUAAAAAAAACUUUAUUAUUUUACAUUAAUCUGCUAGGCAAGUAAGCAAUAGCAAAAUUACACAUGUAUAUGUGAAUCUUCAUUCUUGUAUUUUAACUACAAAUUACAAACUCUUCUACAGAUGAUUCUGACUAGUGAAUCUCCAUAUGUCUAAAAAUAGGAGUGUUAGAGUUUCUCAUAACAUGCUGUUACCCAGACAUAUCUGAGAGCCACUGCUCUCUAACUCUAACUGGGAUGAAAUGAGGCAAACGUACCCCUUGUCAUGUGAGUAUUUCUGUGGAAAUACAGGCUUGCCUGUUCUAGUUUGCUUUCCUUUGUUAUAAUAAACUCCAUGGCCAAAAGCAGCUUGGGGAGGAAAGGGCUGACUUCAGCUUACAGGUUAUAGUCUAUCAUCCAGGGAAGCCAAGAAGAAAACCAAGGCAGGAGCUUGACCAUAAACCAAUUGAGGAAAGCUAUUUAAUGGGUUGGUCCUUGGCUCAUUGUUAUAUAUAUAUAUUAUAUAAUUCAGUCCUACUUGCCUAUGAAUGGUACUGACUACAACACACUGGGUCCUCCUAUAUCAGUUAGAAAUCUAGAAAAUGGCUCACAAAUAUGUCCAUGGUCCAAUUUGAUGGGGGCAACUCCCUCUUCCCAGGUGUGCCAAGCUGCCAACCAAUAUUAUCUACAACACUGGCAAAAAUCUGGGCAUGCACACACCUACAGAAUGUAAACACAUGCAAGGAAGAUGGGGUACUGCAUACAGCUGAACAAGGAGGCAGGGUUUGUGUACAACCGGGUCAAGAGAAAUCUUGGUAGGAAUGGAGGAUAAGUAGGGGAUAAAUCUUCAGGCUACAUCAUCUGAGGCAGGGGAAAUGGGGAAAAAAAGCAAUGGUGGACAUUUUUUGUAUUUACUCUCAACACUUGGACCAGUGGAAAGCGUUGAGAUAGAUCCCUCUGAGCUUCAGUGGAGGAAGGGCUUGCCACCCCCAUGGGGCUAAUGCACCAGUCUUCAGUAUGACUAUGCUUAUGUCAAACACACAUGUACAGGACUUCACUCGUACUCAACAAUCCUGUUUCAGCCUCCUAUGUCCCAGGGUGAUAGGUGUAACCCACCAUUCCUGUCUGGCUUUAAAAAGCAAAAACUUCUAAGCAUUCUGGAGUGUUAGAGAUGCAGAACACUCUGAUCAUUUCUGCUUUGGAUUGGAUAGCAACUCUUGUAAGAGGAACAACGUGAUUUGUAGAAUCGCAAGAAUAAGAGGCACGAACUUGGUUCCUUUUCCUCUACAAUUUUGAGUUUGUUGUCAUUUUGUUAUGAUGCUAUGUAUGAUCUCAAGGGUAGUGUUUUCAAGGCAGAGUUUGUGGAAGAGAUGUUUUAUAUUAAACAGUAACUUUUUUUUUUAAAUCCCAGACAUCGCUUUCCUUUUUAUUUAAAUAAAAAAAUAAAGUUGUGGGUUGUAUACUC